AAGACCUUGCGCUUUUGGAGCGGCCGAUGUCUGAUUAGCUAGUUGGUGGGGUGAUGGCCUACCAAAGCUUCGAUCAGUAGCUGGUCUGAGAGGACGGCCAGCCACACUGGGACUGAGACACGGCCCAGACUCCUACGGGAGGCAGCAGUGGGGAAUUUUGGACAAUGGGCGCAAGCCUGAUCCAGCCAUGCCGCGUGAGUGAAGAAGGCCUUCGGGUUGUAAAGCUCUUUCAGCCGGGAAGAAAAGGCUGCGACUAAUAAUCGCAGUUCAUGACGGUACCGGAAGAAGAAGCACCGGCUAACUACGUGCCAGCAGCCGCGGUAAUACGUAGGGUGCGAGCGUUAAUCGGAAUUACUGGGCGUAAAGGGUGCGCAGGCGGUUUUGUAAGUCAGAUGUGAAAUCCCCGGGCUUAACCUGGGAACU
rnacentral:rRNA from 1 species